ACCUCAUCUCCAAGAAAGAAAUGCAUACCAGAAGAAACCAGAAAGAGGGCCUUUGCACGCACUAUUUGCAUCUUGAGGGUUGCAGCUGGUUCAGGGAGACGUGGUGGAAGCUGGCUCUCAGGCUGUGGGAGGCUGGAGCUGCUACACUUUGGAUAUUGAAUGCCCACUGUCAGUGUAGGAAAGGCCUGGCUCUCAGCAUGGUACUACAGAAGGUGGUGGAACCAGAGGGAGGUGGGGAUCAAUGGGAGACCUUACGUGUUGCAAGUGUGCCUGGAAGGGACUGGGGAGGUUGGCCUUUUCCCUUGUCUUUUGCACCUGGUGAAGAAGGUGGAUGGCUUUCCUGAACCAUGAGCCUCAACAGCUGUGUGCUUUCUUGCCACGGCAAUGGGGUAAACAACCAUGGCCUGAAAUCCUGGCACUCAAGGAGCCCAAACUCACACUUUCUCUCUUGGUUAUCUCACGUAUUUUAUUACAAUAGCAAUAAGUCUAGUACCAUAGUUGAGAUGUUAUCUGAAAGCAACAUCUGUUUUUCUAAGAUCUGAAAGAAGUUGGGUGUGGUAGCCUUCGGUCUGUGAUUCUAGCAGUUGGGAGUUGGAGGAGGGAGGAUCAGGAACUCGAAGUCAUUCUCAGUUACAUAGGGAGUUUGAUGCUAGCCUGGGCUACUCAAGACUCUCUUCAGAACCCUGAACAAAUUAAAAGAGUAUUCUUCAAGUUUAAUUGCCCUUCACAAGUCACGUAAACCUCUCUGGUUUACCCAUCUGGUAAGAUCCUCCUAGUGAGGGCACAGGAGGUGUGUUCAGGAAACUGCCUGGAAAUCAGAGUAUCUGCACCUGCUUUUCUUUGGAACAUUAGUAUCGUCAACACAGCUCCUGCUGUUAUGGUGUGUGCCUGUAAGUCCAGAUUCAGAAGCUGAGGCAGGAGGAUUUUGAAUUUGAGGCUAGCCUUGGGCUACAGAGUGAGACUGGAGUCUGAAAAAAAAUUUGCUACAACAGUGAAGACAAUAGACUGGGUCCAUGGCAAGCUAUUUUUAACUUCUGUCACAAGUCUGUGUACACACACACACACACACAUGCACACAUGCACACACACACAAGCAUGUAUAUAUGCACAUAAAUACAUAAUGUGUAAGUAACAUUUUAAUUAUAAACACUAAACACUUUAAACAAUAUAAUUAUAAUUUUGUAAUUAUAUUUACUAUAUAAGAUUAUCUAAUUAAUCACAUAUUAUAUAUCAACAUAACAUAAUUUAAUAUUAAUUAUAUAAUUAUAAUUUUAAUAUAUAAAUUUAUGCAGUAUAAUAUAAUAAUUACAAACAAUAAGCAUUUUAAUUAUAAGCAUUAUUGAGCACUUACUUUGUGUCAGGUGCUGUGCUUGGUGGCAGAGAUGCAAAACAAAUGAUAAUUUUCUUGUUAUAAUGCUACAAUGAAGAUUCCCACGAGGCUAGCAGAUUUAAGUUAGUCUCUGUACAUUUCCAAGGCUUUUACAGACACAUUACCACCCCGGGAAGCCUUACCUCACCACUAUUCAAAGGGAGAAUUGUGUAUUCUGUCCUUCUCAGAAGCCAGAGAGCCACUCAAAACUUUUGUGUCAUCUGAGUAGAGCAUUUUUUUUAUUUGUUUAUUUUUAAUGUAAAAGUUUAUGUGGUGUCUACACAUAGGUUUGUGUAAGUGUAUCCAUACAUAUGUGUGGCUGCCUGUGAAGGCCAGUAAAGGAUCUCUUGGAGCUGGCAAGACAGGUGUUUGUGAGCCAUUUAAUAUGGAUGUUGGGAUUCGAACUCCAGUUCCUAAUGAUUGAGCAGCAAGCUCUCUUAACUCCUGAUCCAUCUCUUCAGCCCACUAAUUUUAUUUCAUGUGACUAGAUUUUAUGAUCUGUGCUUAAUGUGUUUUAACAUCAAAAUAGUAUGAGUGCUUGGUGUAAAGGUCCAUCUCUUUUGACUACUAUCGUAUGUAUGUAUGUAUGUAUGUAUGUAUGUAUGUAUGUAUAUAUAUAUGUGUGUAUGUGUGUAUGUAUGUAUGUAUGUAUAUAUGUGUGUAUGUAUGUGUGUAUGUAUGUAUAUAUGUGUGUAUGUGUGUAUGUGUGUAUGUAUGUAUGUAUGUAUGUAUAUAUGUGUGUGUGUGUAUGUAUGUAUGUAUGUAUGUAUGUAUAGCCUGGGGUUCUGUGGCCCUACAUCAUGUCUAUAUCCAUGCAUCUCAGGUCCCCACAGGAGAUCAGGAGGGCUUUGUUCUCCCUUCCCCCUUCUCUUUCCUCUUAGAUUUAGCAGAAGACACAUCAAUGUCUCAGGGUUCUCAAGGCUCUCCUCCCUUUUGGGGUUCUAGUUGGAUUUGUUAGGACACAAAAAUGGCUGACACUAACAGAAGGGGAACAGAGCAGGUCUUGGUUCUGUUAACAGGUGUUGUGGCUUGGAUUUUGUGUCCCUCAACAGCUUAUGUAUUGAAGUUUGAUUCCCAGACAAUGGUGCUAUUGGGAGCUGGUGGGACUUUUAAAGAAAGGCCUUCUCAAUGAGAAGUUAUUGAUACUGAUGUCUGAUAGCUUUUCCCUCCCUCCUUCCGUCCCUCCCUCCCUCUUUCCUUCUCGUCCUCCCUCCCUCCUGGCUACCAGCUACCACAGGGUACAUAGCUUCACCACUUACUCUGGGCCAUGAUAUCCUGCCUCAUCACAGAUUCCAGGGUAAACUAACCAGCCAAUCGUGGACUGAACUCUCCGAAACUGUGAGCCUAACACACCUCUAACCCUUCUAAACCGUUCUGCUCAGCUCUUGCACAGUGAGACAGAGCUAACCAACACAAACAAUGGAUAAAUGUCCAUGGAGGGAAAAUGCAGCUUUAGGACUUAUAAAAUCCCAUGUUCCUCUUGGGAAAAACAGGCAACAGAGGCAGCAUGAACGGUCAUCAGGGUGCACAUUCUAGACCUGCACGCUGGGCUUUCAAAAGCAGCCGUGUUUCUACCUCCUCUUUCUUUUUCCACGGGGUUGAAAUAGUUUAUUUAUGUGGCUCUCACCUAAGGUAUGAACUCUAAAUUAAACACUUACCGAGUUAUCAGUUAAUGCACGAGAAACCCAUCCAGGGAGCUGAGCGAGCGGGCUCUAAAACCAGGUGUAACUGAAUGCAUAUAAAAGGGGUUCAACAAGGUGAUCUUUAUGUCCUGGACUCCUGGGAGGCUUUCCUUGAACUGGUUCCCGUCAUCAACAGCCUCGCAUUCUUUUCUGAAGGACAGUUGAGAUCAUUGUAACCAUAAUGAGGCUAUAUGCUGUGGAAGUCUUGAAAAGCACAGAGGAGGAGUGAGCCCGCGGAGGACCUGCCACGGGCCAGCUUUGCUGAUGCCUUAGCGUGCACCGCCUCUUGCCUGGAAGCAUGGUCUCCCCUCCCCAGGACUCAGGAUAACUAUGAAAAGUGAAAUGAGGCUCUAGGAGAGGCCACGGGUGUUAAGCACGCUAACGUUUCCAUUACGUCUAAAAGCAGAAAAUGGAACAAACAAAGCCGGUUGAAAUUCCCCCCCACUAUAAUGUAUGCCAGAAUGUCACAGGAACUCAUUGUCUGCGGUGAAUGCGAAAACAUGGGCAAUUCAGGCUGAACAAUGCCAGCGACUGCGAGUCUAUGAAAGCAUCUCGUCCGCGUGAGUUUCAUCUGCUGUGGUUUUGCCCUUGUUUUCUUCCCCCAAGAAGGCUAUUUCUUGGAUAAUAUGGCCUUUAAAGUUUAAGCUGCUCCAACGGAGUUUCUGCUUUUCCUAGUACUCUCUGUGGUUUUGAAAUCCAAGAAUUGCAGAAUAAAAUAAAAUAAAGUCUGUGUUUCCUGCCUAGCCUCUCAGGUGCAUAUGCUUAGUGACUCCAACGGAAACGCCCGGCAUUUUCCCAGGAAGAGGAUGUGGGAUCCACGGGGUGUGUGUGUGUGUGUGUGUGUGUGUGUGUGUGUGUGUGUUGGUAUCUCUGUGAGGCAGCUGACUUCAGGGUAAGACUCGUCUGUCACUCUGGUGUUGGUCCAGCUCAGGCAGGCGAACAUCUAUGUUUACAUCUUGGCAGGAGCCAGGAUUGGUUACCCAUGGUGGCCCUGAAGCCUACCUAUACUUUGGAGGGAGGCUGGUGGCCUUUUCUGUUUCCUCCAUGUCUCCUGUUCUUAAAGGAGGAACUUAUGGGAUUCGUGAGGACUCUUGGCCUGACUCUGCCAUGUUUGGAGUAAGAGCUUGUUGAAAGGGCACAUGUAGUGGCUGGCUCUCACUGUGGUGACAAGAGUUGAGUAUAGGAGACAGAAAUAAAGAAGACACCGCUUGAGUUUUUGUGAGCCCAGGGCAUGUCUCUUUCUUCGUGUCGUUGGCAAUAAUGGCUGGUUGAGAAUAAAUUAGGUUACAGACACUCCAUGACCACCACUGUAGAUAGCUCACUCCGGCAUACUAGCCCGAAGCCACAUAUUAAGAUGACUUUUAGCUUUACACACAGUACACAAAGACACAGAAGUGACUAUAUCCACUUCUGAGAACGGAGCUUUCAGAAAGACUCCAUGCAUUGAACAACAUUCUGUCAGACUCCCUUAUCUUUAUUGCCACCCCUCCCCAGGUGUGUGUUCAUGUGUUCAUGUGAGCACAUGGGUGGGCAGAGGGCGGAGGUCGAUGUCUAGUAUCUUCCUCUAUCACUCUUCAUCUUGAUUUUUGUGGUCAGGCUCCCUCAUUGUACUCAGAGUUCUACUACUGAUUAGAGCUAGGUUAGCUAACUAGCCAGCAAGACCUAGGCGCUUACUGUCUCCAUUCCCCCACUGUCAGGGGUCCAGAUAUACGCCCCUAUAUGCAAUUUUUAUGUGAAUGGUAUUCAAACUCAGGUCGCCAUGCUUGGACUGCAGGCACUUCACUGGUUCAGCCACCCUCUUCCUAUUGCCAGCGCAAUCACCCUCUACUCCACUUCCCAACCUCCCAUCAGUCCUCAUAUAGUCUAGGCUGAUCUUGAACUCUCUACAUAGCAGAGGCUGGCCUUGAUCCUUCUGCCUGUUCCUCUUGAGCUCCGAGAUUAUCCAGUGCACUGCUACAUGCUGUUCAGUCUUCCUUCUCUGCUUACUUAACUGGCUUUUGACUCAGGAGAUGUGGCAAUGGCCAGGGUUGCCUCUUCCCUUCCGUUCUCCCACCAUAAUGACAAGCGGCUGACGUUUUCCUGGGUUAUGGAGCUUCAGUGUGCAAGACAAGUUGAGGGCUACAAGUAUUUGGAGGGCAGAACGUCCUUAGAGACUAUCCUGGCUGCCCGUGAACACAGAAAGGGCGUGAAGACGUGGAAAGCGCUGUGGACUGAUUAUGAUCUGAACCCCAAAGGCAUGCUCCCCAAAGUCCUCCAUGGAGCUAGUGGAAUGGGAGGUGAAUUUAGGGGGAUGUCUUUCAGUUCUCUCCUAAUCUGUCUCUUCCUUCUGCUUCAUGCCUUGGUAUGUGAUGGUUGGCUAUGACACACAUGCCCUGCCAUCAUCAUGGGCUCACAGAAUGACUGUCCUGGGCUCUGUGCUUCUAAAACUGUCACCUGGAUAACUCUUUUCUCUUUGUGAGAACUGGGCCUGGUAAUACCUCCAAGGCUCCUCCUCCCCGUCCUGGGUUCUCUUGAGCCCUUCCUGGCUUUUCCUUUCUUCCAGAACAUGGGUUACUACUGCCUUACCCUGGGGUAUCAUGGGGGCCCUUUUCCAGUUCCCCUCUUCUGCUUCCUCUUUCCUGAUACAUCGCUGUAUCCUCUGACCUAGUGUUACAUCUUCCUUUUCUCCUGGUCAGAGGCUGUCAAUGAUUAAGUCAGGACAAUCAGCAGAUCAGUCAAACCCUUCAUCGUUUCUUUUUUUUAAUCAUGUGUAUAUUUGUGUGUCUGUGAGUACAUACCACACGUGUGUUACUGCACACAGAGGUAAGAGGGGUUUGAUCCCUAGAGAUAAAGUUACAGGUAUAUGUGACUAUAACUUUAUGCAUAUAUGCAUGUUUAUGUGUUGGUGUAUGUAUACAUGUAGGUGUGUUCGUAUGUGUAUGUAUGUGUAGAAACCAAAGUUUAGUCCCAGGUUUCUUCUUUAACACCCUAGCCGCCUUUUUGAGACAAGAUCUCCCACUGACCCUGAAACUAGCUAAUUUGACUCAAGUGACUGAUCUUGCUUUUUUUUUUAAUGUAAAGCCAAUAUUACUAAUUUUUAUUCUCUUGUUUUCUUCAUGGUGCCUGACUGUUGUUCAUAAUUAAUCUUUUUUCCUAUUUGGUUGUUUGAGACAGAGUGUUAUUACAUGGCCCAGGCUGGCUUUGAACUUGUGAUCCCUUUCCCUAGUCUACUAAGUGCUGGGGUCAAUUUAUAAUUGAUGUUAUGAUCAGUAGACUCAUGUCUAGGCACAGUGGCAUGCUGACAUUCCUGCUGGACAUGGCCCAGGAUAAAAGCAAAUGCCAGGAUUUAGGCUGAGGGCUUCUCAUGGGACAGACAGUAGAGCACCUGCCUUGCAUCGGGCUGUGUGGUCUUCUGAAUCCCACUAUGUCUGCACUCUUCAGUUAGGUCUUGCCAGCCCUGUGGUGAUGCAUCCUUUUCUAAGAGCAGAGAUUUCUCCCAGGUUGUAGGGAUUUUCCUUACCCUAGCACAGCUGUGGGGCUGCUCAGGGCAUGGAGGGUAACAGCCAAGCAAAGAAGCAUGGUAAGAAGGAAGCCUGCAUUGGUUUGGAAGAGGUGGUAUCCUCUGGUUCUGCAAGUGAAUAACAUGAAGGCUGGUUCUAGAAUGUUCCUCAAGGGUCUCCCAUAGGGUGGAGUCUUGGGUCUAUGGGAGUCAAUCAUCAGUACACCCUCCCUAGGCCCCCCUCUCCCUUCCCAACUUCCUCCCCUCACUUCUGUCUCUGGGAAUCUCCCAGGGAAAAUAUAGAACCAGAAGACCUUAAUCUCAGAAACUUUGUUUAGGGGAUUCCAAGAUAUUAGUACAAACGCUUGUUUGAGGACCCAGGGUUAUCCUGAUCUGUAAGAAGUCAUCCAGGUUCUGGUAGAAGGCAGUUGCAGGGCUGUUGUUUGAGAGUGAGUGGGGUGCAUGUGUCUGGGAAACAAGAUCAAGUUUACCGACAUGUACUUACUUAGAGGACAAUUCAUAUUUUGGUGUGCAUUUUUGGUAAGUUUUUGAUAAAUAGAUAUAGUAGACAUGUGACCACUGCAAAUAUCAGGACACAGAUUAGCUCUGUCACACCCCACCCUCUACCUCCACCAAGUGACCCAUACUCACUUCUAGUCAGCUUCUCACUCUAGCUCCUGGUGAGCCUUCACCUGCCUUUUGGUCUUCGUCAAAGGAAUGGAAGGAGGCAGGGUACAGUCUUGUGGCACUGGCUUCUGUUUGGCUUCAUCACAGCACCUGUUGGAAGUUCUUAUUGGGGACAACUUGGACUGGAUUAAGGAAUACCUAGAAAGCAGAUGCUAUCGUUUACGUAUGAAGCAGAGGCUUGGUACCCAGAUGGUCAGUUUCGGGAAAGUGACUGGAUUCCAAGAGCUCUGACCUCAUGUAGGAAUUCACCCUUUGGUGGUGUGUAAUAUGAUGGUAUUAAUGAGAGAGAUGAAAGUCAGGGGGUGGCUAGUUAUAGGAAGUAGGUGUGUGUGUGUGUGUGUGUGUGUGUGUGUGUGUGUGUGUGUAUGUGUGUGUGCGUGUGUGUGUGUGUGUGUGAUCCUGGGAGACCUUGCUUAGGUCUCUUAUAACUCUGUCUCUGCUUCCUAUCCACCAAGCUUUACCACACCCUCCGUGCCACGAGGGGCAGAGAGCUCUGAAACUCUGAACUAUCUUUGUCUCUGGUGUUUUUGCUCACAGGAAUGGUAAGGCUUAUUAAUAUUCUUGAAAAAAAAACCCAUUAUUUUGGAUGUGUCUGUGAAGUGGCAUGUGAGUCCAGGUCCAGGGAGAAUCAGACACAAUAUGGUGGAGCACCUCGUCUAGUGGCAAGCUGCUCACCUCAUGUGUCUGAGAAGUAUAGGGGAGAAGGAAUGAGGGUUCAGACACACCCACAAGGACACGCCCACAAUGAGCGAGCUUCCUUGACUGGUCUCCUCAGUGUCCCACCAUCUCUCCACAGCAUGAGGGUGCGUGUAUCUAGGAGACACACUUCGGUGUUUGGAUCUUUGAGGGACACUUAUCCAAAUUGUGACCUUUAAAUUGUCCCCCAUAUUUAAAAACUUGAGGUUUUGUCUUUAUUUUUAAAUUUUUAGAGGGAAAUUUAAAAUUUUACGUGGAAUUUCCCAACUUUUAAUAGAAACUAAGUAUAGGGACAGAGUGUGUAGCUUCCGUAGGCUUGUAUGUUGCCAGGUUUUCUGCCUCAAGUCUUCUGAGUCAAAUCCAGUGCAUCUGUCAGUAAUUCAAGCAACCACAGGGUGCCCUGUGACACGAAUGCCCAGCUCAGCCUGGUCUCAUGGGUUCUGCUUUGCAGUCAUUCUAGAGUUCCAACAGGGGACGGGAGGAAGAAACUGAUUUAUAGAUGCUAGGGAAAUGGUUUAGUCAUGAAGAAGAAUGAAACUAACUCAUUGGCAGGAAAAUGGGCACAACCAGAAUCAUCUUAAGUAAAUCAAGUCAGUCUCAGAAAAGCAAAGUGUUUUCUCUCACUUGCAGGCCUUAGGCUUUAUACAUACACAAAUCACUUAUGUACAGUUGACAUGAGAGCAGAAACCAUCCUGUUUAAUAAAACAAAGGGGAUUAAUGGAAAGGGAGGAUGGGUGAACUGUGUAAGGGGUAGCCUCAGGUACAUCAUACAUGUGCAUGAAAAUGGUCUCCUAUAAUCUUGUAUAAUGAUGAUGAUGAUAAUAAUAAUAAUAACUAGCCAAAAUAGAUAGAUUCCCACUUUACUGUUUAUACAGCAAUUCUGCAGUCCUGAAAUUAUCCUCCGGUGUGAUACUUCUGUGCCUUUGUUGCUGUAGGCAAGCGGCCGUCUGGAGGCAGCACCUUUGAAUUCCGCACCUUCCUGCCAGUGGCUAAAGUUGCUUUACAGCUUUUACGAGCACAAAACAUUGUCAUUUGGGAAGCAAAGUACUCCAUUCACUCAUUCAGUGGAAAGGUGGCUUCAGUGGGGUCAACAGUGACUGUCAGGGAUGCAGGCCAAGGCUACUGUGAAUGAGGCAGGUUGGAUUCACCAGGGACCACGACCCAGGGUGGAGUUUGGCUGAAGUAUGUAAGGUCUCUGUCUGCAAACCUCUCUCAUUAUCCAGGAAGCGGUGUGUGUCCCCGUCCUCAGUCCUCAACAAUUGCUUUUCAAGGUCGCUGUGGAUACUCUGUGAUUGUAAAGGCCUUUUCAGGCCCAACCUUGUCAUGUGACAGCCAGGCCUCCCUGUUCAGGGUGAGCGGGGUUUGUAUAAUGGCAGUGACUGCUCUUCACUGGGAAAUGUUCAGAUUACCAGAGACAAAGCUGCUUAUCUGUCUUAAGGGGAGAGUGCUGGAGUUCCCUGGGUGGAUCGCCCUAACAAAGACAAUCCUUCAAACUUACAGCUUUCUGGAAAGUCAAUCCUAAACUUCUUGUUUCCAAGUAAGACAGUCAUCAUCUGUGGCUGUCCCAACCCUUGGUGUGACAGCCCUAGGUUUGGGGAUUAAUUGUGCAGUGGGCUGGAUCUUCCUGCCUUUCAGUUUCCUGAAACUCCAGGUGAACAGAAAGGCACUUUCUCAAGUUCAACCAUCUUGAAAAACUUCCUAAAUUUUUGUUGUAGUUGAACAUCACUUAUAUUUACUUUGAACACUUUAUUUAAAUCCAGUUAAAAAUUUUUCUUGGCUGUGGGAUAUGUGUAUCUAGUUUAAGUAACUAUUGGACUGACUGACUUUAAGAUAGCCGUGUGACCCAUGCUAGGGGUAUGAAAUGAAAAUCUCUGGUUUCUUUGGAGACUCAGCUCUGUCAUAUGAUGUUUUUCUAGAAACUGUCUUAUGAGAGAGAAUAGCUUUGCUGAAGCAAACAUGUGGGAGGAUGUUUUGCUGAAAAUGGACACAUGGUGUUUUUCUGGAAGCAGCCUGGAAAAGGAGCAUAUGAUGUUUUGCUAGAGCAGACGCUUUAGAAAACACAUGAUGUUUAAAAAGUGUAUAAAUAUAACCCAACAAUGGACAAUGCUGUGGUAUUAGUCCACUUUACCAGUCUUUGUUGGUCAUCCUUGGAUUUUGCUGGCGCUGGUCUUUGCUGAUUACUCUGUGGUAUUGGUUCGCCUUGUCAUUCUUUACUGGCCAUCAUUUGUUAUGACUUCAAAAAAAGAACUGUACCAAAAAUCCUCUGGUGGUGUUUCGGCGGCUUCUUGAUGCUUCAGUGGAUUCCGCCGAUUGUCAGAGCCUCGCAGUUUCUGGAUCAACCUGCCUUUGCUGAUUCAUGAGUGGUGUUUAUGAGUGCACUGAGCUGCCGCUGCUGAUUUGUAUGAACUAAACGGUUGACAAAUCGAGUUUGCUCCAAAAAACGAUUUCUAAACAGGUCUACAUCCUCCUUUGCCCUGUUAACCUUUCCUUUCUAUUACUUCUGGUGGGUGGUGGCCUAAACGGCAGAUUAAAACACUUAAGAACCCUUAUUAAAAGCAGAUUUUUAAAAAAAUAUAAGCCUACCAGGGUACUUUGGGCAGCACCUAAAAUGUUUCUGUGUGUGCUGAGUAUCCUAGAACACUGGGCUCAGAUGUCACAAACUUUGAGACUGAACUCUAGAUCUGUUACCUGAAACCAUGGCAUCUAACUUCUAGUUUUCCUAUCUGCAAGAUGGAAACACUCAAACUUAUUGCCCUGUCUGUCUGCCUGCCUGCCUGCCUGCCUGCCUAUCUAUCUAUCUAUCUAUCUAUCUAUCUAUCUAUCUAUCUAUCUAUCUAUCUAUCUAUCUAUCUAUCUGAGACAGGGUCACUCUGUAGCCUUGGCUAGCCUGGAACUCUUUAUGUGGACCAGCCUGGCCUUUGAAUUCAUAGAGAUCUCCCUGUCUCUGCCUCCCAAUGGCUGGGAUUAAGGAAUGAACCACUGCCCUGCAAACCACAGACCUGCCUUCCAGUGUGCACGACACCGGUGAGCCAUACACGCAUGCUACCACACCACUCAGCGUGGAAGGAAGAUGUUGCUCAGGGCCUUGCCAGCCACAUGGCCAGCCUGCAGCAGGAGAGCCGCCCACACCACAGUGUGUGAGCAUGUGGUGGUCAGAUGGGAGAGGAAGAGAAGUGGAGCAGCUUGAGUGUUUGGAAGAGAGAUGGAACAGGAGACCUGAGUAUGAAGAGGAGCAGCCUGCUGUGAGUGGAGUAGCCUGCGGUGAGUAGCCAGCCCUGCCAGCUGGGGCCCUGGUGAGGUCCCAACUUGAGCCGCGACUGAGAGCCAUGUCUGCAUCCAUGGCUGUGCAGUGGCAGGGAUUGGCUCAUGUGACCAGUAGAGAACAUGGGAUGUCCCUGGUCAGGGCAGCCACUGGGGACUGGUGCUUUGGAAAUCCACCCCAUCUCUCACCAGUGGCAGCACUUGGGAAAGCGGGUUCUGCACCUCACCCAGUCAGCACAGUGAAGCCAGUCCUCGCAGCAGCAGUGUAGGUAGACAGCCCUAAGUGUGUGAGUAUGAGAGAGUGGACCCUACCACAGAGGUGAUGUGUUCCCACUGCCCCUUGCUAUCUUUGGCAAUCAGGAAAGUUGCCCACCGGGUCAUAAACUCAGGAGAGCUCUCCUUGUCCUUCAGCAGCUGCAGCACUCAGGAGAGCAGACCCUGCACCUUGCCUGGAUAGCACAGCAGACUGGGGCUGACUGAGGGUGCAGCACAUGGAGAGUGAACCCUACAUCUCUCCUGGGAAGCACUGUAUAGCUGGCCCUGGUGAAGAGGUGGCAGCUGAGCUGGUCCUGAGGAUCAUGGGAAAGUUGGCUCUGCCAGCCUGUCAUGAGAUGAGCAACACAGUGGAGGUGGUCGUGAUGUUGAAGGCAUGAGUAAGCCAUCCCCGAGGGUGGUGAGAGCAGGAGGGCUGGCCUAGCCCCUCACAGGCUGCAGCACUUGGGAGAGUGGGCCCUGCCUCUUGACUAAGCAGCACCGUGGACCUGCCUCUGGAGGCAGGGGUGCAGGACAACAACGGGAUGGUGGAGAGCAGUCCUAAUGAGGAUCCAACAUUAAUGGUGUCACAGAAGCAGUAGAUCUUGAACCAGACCAAUGACUCAUGGCAACGAACGCUUGCAAGUGAAGAUGUGUGGAUAGAGGGACACACUGUGGGACACACUGUGGGACAUACUGUGACGUACUAUAGCUUCUGUGGUGAGAUUUUUUUUGUAUACUGUUUUUUUUUAUUUUGUUUGUUUAUGUGUGUGUUUUAUUGGGGGGGGUCACAGGACAAGGGUAGAUUUGAGGGGAUGGGGAUGAGUGAAAAUGGGGUACAUGAUGUGAAAUUCACAAAAACUCAAUAAAAACAAAUAAA